rnacentral:lncRNA from 1 species
CUCAGUGGGGGAUACAGAACAUCACCGGCUUCUUCUCGUUGUUUUUUUCCUCCACAUUCAUGGAUUUAAAACAAUAUUCAGCCCCCCUUAGCGGGAUGAAAGAGUCUAAAGUGGAGUUUAAAUGAAGUCCGGACUCCUGUUUUUAUUUAUUAGCUGCGUUUCUCCUGUUAGGACCUGUGACCGGGGCUUCUACCUGAGGAGUAAAGAUGAAAAGUUUGCUAUUCGUCACCUUGUGUUUCUCGACGUGUCCGCUCAUGGUUGACGGACGGCAUCCAACCUGUAACUUCCUGUUGGAGGUGGAGAGAGACCAGGCGGAGUGUCUGAGGCAGCUGAGGGAGGAGGACACUGCCGGCAGCCAUAAAGGUCACAAUCUUUGACAAACAUUCGCUAAACUACAGUUAAACCAAACUUCAAUUCAUCUAGAAACAAAGAAAGAACUUUCUGGAUCUUAAAACGGAAAACAUGGAGCACAAGUCUCAAGUCUGCCGACUGAAAGCUGAUGUCAUGUAUACAUACAGUUUGUACAAAGUACAUGUAUUCAUACCUCUGCCAUGUGAAGACAUGAGCAGCUUACAUGUCCAAGUUUAAUCCUGUCCUGGACUAAAUCUGGAUAUGAGACGCACCUGAUUUGACCGCUGGAGUUUACUAAUCAGAUUAUAUCUCAUUUCAGAUCAGAAAACUCUUUUUGAGUCUCUUUUUUUAAACCGUUUUAAGAUUCCAUUUGGCAAAAUGGGGUCAUGGCUUUUAUCUACAAAGCCUUUAAAGUCAUUUGAAAGGGAAUUUAAAGUGCCCAUAUUAUGAAAACAUCACUUUUUCUGGGAUUUGGGGUGUUAUUUUGUGUCUCUGGUGCUUCCACACAUAUACAAACUUUGAAAAAAAACCAUCCAUGCUGUUUAGAGUGAGAUACGGUUUCUGAAUGUGUCCUGCCUUCAGUCUCCGGGUGAGCUGAUCAAAAUCUGCACGGCUUUCUACGUAACUAGCCGAGACGAGGGGCCUAGGGGGCUAACCGUUAGCAUGCUAGCUCGUUCUCAAUGGCAAAACACUGCUACAACACACACAAAUUCACCCUAAUCUACAAAAUGUAUCAAACUACUUACAAGUCCCUUUUCCGCAGGUAUUCCACACAAAUUUGGAAGUGCGCCCUUAUUUAGAAGAAGUCUCCCGGCUAAUCCUGCCUUGUACAGGCUGAACUUGCA